rnacentral:rRNA from 1 species
CGUGCGGCUGCUCUAAUGCAGUCGAGCGCGAAAGUUGCCCGCAAGGGUGGCGAGUAGAGCGGCGAACGGGUGAGUAACACGUGGGUAAUCUGCCCUCAAGUUGUGGGAUAACAACUGGAAACGGUUGCUAAUACCCCUGUGGAUCCCUUGCCCUUUAGGGUGGGGGAUGGAAGGCGCUUUUCCGCAAGGAGAGGUGUCGCUCGAGGAGGAGCCCGCGGCCCAUUAGCUAGUUGGCGGGGUAAUGGCCCACCAAGGCAACGAUGGGUAGCUGGUCUGAGAGGAUGACCAGCCACACUGGAACUGAAACACGGUCCAGACUCCUACGGGAGGCAGCAGUAGGGAAUUUUGGGCAAUGGGGGAAACCCUGACCCAGCAACGCCGCGUGAGUGAAGAAGGCCUUCGGGUCGUAAAGCUCUGUCAGGUGGGAAGAACCAAGCCCGGGUAACGCCGGGCCUUGACCGCCACCAAAGGAAGCACCGGCUAACUCCGUGCCAGCAGCCGCGGUAAUACGGAGGGUGCGAGCGUUGUCCGGAAUCAUUGGGCGUAAAGGGCGUGUAGGCGGCCCUGCAAGUCCGGUGUGAAAGCCCUCGGCUCAACCGGGGAAGUGCAUCGGAAACUGCUGGGCUUGAGUGCGGGAGAGGAAGGUGGAAUUCCCAGUGUAGCGGUGAAAUGCGUAGAUAUUGGGAGGAACACCGGUUGCGAAAGCGGGCCUUCUGGACCGUCACUGACGCUGAAACGCGAAAGCGUGGGGAGCAAACAGAUUAGAUACCCUGGUAGUCCACGCUGUAACGUGAGCACUAGUGUUGGGGGUAUCGACCCC